UCCAGACUCCUACGGGAGGCAGCAGUGGGGAAUAUUGCACAAUGGGGGAAACCCUGAUGCAGCGACGCCGCGUGAGCGAGGAAGUAUUUCGGUAUGUAAAGCUCUGUCAGCAGGGAAGAAGAAUGACGGUACCUGAAGAAGAAGCACCGGCUAAAUACGUGCCAGCAGCCGCGGUAAUACGUAUGGUGCAAGCGUUAUCCGGAUUUACUGGGUGUAAAGGGAGCGCAGGCGGUUCUGCAAGUCUGAUGUGAAAGCCCGGGGCUCAACCGCGGGACUGCAUUGGAAACUGCGGGACUGGAGUGUCGGAGGGGGAAGCGGAAUUCCUGGUGUAGCGGUGAAAUGCGUAGAUAUCAGGAGGAACACCGGUGGCGAAGGCGGCCUGCUGGACUGCGACUGACGGUGAGGCCCGAAAGCGUGGGGAGCAAACAGGAUUAGAUACCCCGGUACUG
rnacentral:rRNA from 1 species